AUUGAACGCUGGCGGCAGGCUUAACACAUGCAAGUCGAGCGGGGGAAGGUAGCUUGCUACCGGACCUAGCGGCGGACGGGUGAGUAAUGCUUAGGAAUCUGCCUAUUAGUGGGGGACAACAUCUCGAAAGGGAUGCUAAUACCGCAUACGUCCUACGGGAGAAAGCAGGGGAUCUUCGGACCUUGCGCUAAUAGAUGAGCCUAAGUCGGAUUAGCUAGUUGGUGGGGUAAAGGCCUACCAAGGGGACGAUCUGUAGCGGGUCUGAGAGGAUGAUCCGCCACACUGGGACUGAGACACGGCCCAGACUCCUACGGGAGGCAGCAGUGGGGAAUAUUGGACAAUGGGGGGAACCCUGAUCCAGCCAUGCCGCGUGUGUGAAGAAGGCCUUAUGGUUGUAAAGCACUUUAAGCGAGGAGGAGGCUACUCUAGUUAAUACCUAGGGAUAGUGGACGUUACUCGCAGAAUAAGCACCGGCUAACCCUGUGCCAGCCGCCGCUGUAA
rnacentral:rRNA from 1 species